UACGAGAGGCCCAAACGUUAUUCGGAAUUACUGGGCGUAAAGCGUGCGCAGGCGGUUCUGAAAGUCAGUUGUGAAAUCCCCGGGCUCAACCUGGGAAUGGCAAUGGAUACUGGAUAGCUAGAGUGUGAUAGAGGAUGGUGGAAUUCCCGGUGUAGCGGUGAAAUGCGUAGAGAUCGGGAGGAACAUCAGUGGCGAAGGCGGCUUGCUGGGCCGGACCUGACGCUGAGACGCGAAGGCGUGGGGAGCGAACGGG
rnacentral:rRNA from 1 species